rnacentral:piRNA from 1 species
UGCUUUGUGCAUGCUACUACAGUGAAAA